UUCGCAACUCCAUUUUCCCAAAUUCCCUCAAUAUCUCUUCAAUAACUCCUUAAUCCCAAUCCCCUAACUUCCCCCCGCCGGCUCACGUCUUUCACCCCACUUUCCACUUUUUCAUUUUCCUCAAAUCAGUUACAGAGCACAAACAUAUGCAUCCAUAUAUAACUGAAGCUUCACAAACAAAAAAGGAGAGAACGAAAGAAAAAAAAACAGAGAAAAAAGAAAUCAGGAACGAGAAGUAAAGAAAAAGUAAAAAAAAAAAGGAGCAAAUUUUUGGAAAGAAAAACUACAAGAGAAGAAGAAUAUGAUUUUG
rnacentral:lncRNA from 1 species